rnacentral:rRNA from 1 species
AUUGAACGCUGGCGGCAGGCUUAACACAUGCAAGUCGAGCGGGGUGAUGGUGCUUGCACUAUCACUUAGCGGCGGACGGGUGAGUAAUGCUUCGGAAUCUGCCUAUUAAUGGGGGACAACAUCUCGAAAGGGAUGCUAAUACGGCAUACGCCCUACGGGGGAAAGCAGGGGAUCACUUGUGACUUUGCGGUAAUAGAUGAGCCUAAGUCGGUAUAGCUAGUUGGUGGGGUAAAGGCCUACCAAGGCGACGAUUUGUAGCGGGUCUGAGAGGAUGAUCCGCCACACUGGGACUGAGACACGGCCCAGACUCCUACGGGAGGCAGCAGUGGGGAAUAUUGGACAAUGGGGGGAACCCUGAUCCAGCCAUGCCGCGUGUGUGAAGAAGGCCUUAUGGUUGUAAAGCACUUUAAGCGAGGAGGAGGCUCUUUUGGUUAAUACCCAAGAUGAGUGGACGUUACUCGCAGAAUAAGCACCGGCUAACUCUGUGCCAGCCGCCGCCGUAAGAC